rfam:Paenibacillus ferrarius strain CY1 CY1_scaffold26, whole genome shotgun sequence.
AUUGAAAAUGUCGAAUCAACUCGUAUAAAAUCAGGGAUAAGGCCUGAAAGUUUCUACCCAAAAACCAUGAAUUUUUGGACUACGAGGAAGCGAAUGAGGGAA